ensembl:snoRNA SCARNA18 small Cajal body-specific RNA 18
UUGCAUGUGGAAACACAACUGCUCCUCAUUCCCUUGGGAGCAGGAAUACAUCCAUAACAUGCUACAUUAAAAAAGGAGUUCUCAGGGCUGCCAACCUUACAGUAGAGGUUGAGUAGUAGUAUAUUUCUCCUACAUAA